GGAGAGCUGGCUGAGUGGCUGAAGGCGCACGAUUGGAAAUCGUGUUAACGUUCAUAGCGUUACGAGGGUUCAAAUCCCUCGCUCUCCGCCA
rnacentral:tRNA from 1 species